rnacentral:rRNA from 1 species
AUGAACGCUGGCGGCGUGCCUAAUACAUGCAAGUCGAGCGAACAGACGAGGAGCUUGCUCCUCUGACGUUAGCGGCGGACGGGUGAGUAACACGUGGAUAACCUACCUAUAAGACUGGGAUAACUUCGGGAAACCGGAGCUAAUACCGGAUAAUAUAUUGAACCGCAUGGUUCAAUAGUGAAAGACGGUUUUGCUGUCACUUAUAGAUGGAUCCGCGCCGCAUUAGCUAGUUGGUAAGGUAACGGCUUACCAAGGCGACGAUGCGUAGCCGACCUGAGAGGGUGAUCGGCCACACUGGAACUGAGACACGGUCCAGACUCCUACGGGAGGCAGCAGUAGGGAAUCUUCCGCAAUGGGCGAAAGCCUGACGGAGCAACGCCGCGUGAGUGAUGAAGGUCUUCGGAUCGUAAAACUCUGCUAUUAGGGAAGAACAAAUGUGUAAGUAACCAUGCACGUCUUGACGGUACCUAAUCAGAAAGCCACGGCUAACUACGUG